rnacentral:rRNA from 1 species
GACAGAGGGUGCAAACGUUGUUCGGAAUUACUGGGCGUAAAGCGUGUGUAGGCGGUUAGGAAAGUCGGAUGUGAAAGCCCCGGGCUCAACCCGGGAAGUGCACUCGAUACUACCUAACUAGAGUAUCGGAGAGGUUGGUGGAAUUCUCGGUGUAGAGGUGAAAUUCGUAGAUAUCGAGAGGAACACCGGUGGCGAAGGCGGCCAACUGGACGAAUACUGACGCUGAGACACGAAAGCGUGGGGAGCAAAC